rnacentral:tRNA from 1 species
GGACCUGUAGCUCAGUUGGAUAGAGCAACAGCCUUCUAAGCUGUGGGUCGUGGGUUCGAAUCCCGCCAGGUUCA